UUUAACAAAAUUGCUGGUUUAGAAGGAUUUAGGGUUUGUUUUGAAUUAAUAAAUUAAAUACACAUCUCUGGCCGAUAUUCAUGGAGAAUGGAUAGUUUACUUACUCUGAGGCCAAUCCAUUUGGGUUUUGAAAGCGCUGUGAAAUUCUGAAACUGUGAUGUGGGUGACCCAACACAUCAUAACCAAAAACCAACCACUUCAGUUAUUGAACCUGAUAAGAUUCAAAGUGAUAAAGAUGCCUAUGACACAUCAUCAAAUGACAUGGCUCCUGGGACCCAUCCAACGGCAUCAGCACAAUACUCCCAAAGGCUGAGAAACGCCCAUCAAUUUGACAUGAUCUUAUGUAGGGGAUCAUAUCACGUGAAGUUUGUGAAUUCUGUUAGGGAAGAUCACGUUUUUUGAUAAUUGAUUAGUUAGUGGCUAUAUUAUGUGGAGAAGAAAAGUGUAUGGUAUAUGAAAUGAAUAUAAUUUUUUCUAUUCUCAUCUCUUUUUCUUAGGAGGUAGCUAUCCUUGAAAUAGCCGGUUUUGUUCCUCAUCCCUGUCCUUGAACCUCCAGCCCUGAAGAAAAACGAAGAAAGGGUUUUCUUCUCCAGCUUCCGGCCUCCGGGAUCUGAAUAAUGCCAGAAACUAUGCUUCCAUUGCUAAAAUCCCUUUCUUGUGAUGGCGAUGGCGAUGGGAAAGACAGCGGCGAAAACGAGGAAACAACAGAAGGAGCUGAAUAAUCAUCAAAAAGCAAACUCUAUCAUGGUGCUUGUGAAUUAUGAUGUCGUGACUUGUGAGCUCUAUAUUAGCAACAGCUGAUGAUGACACCACCACUUACCUGUGCCACCCUGCACCCUGGUUGGAUCUCUAUGCGCCUCUCUUGGUUGGUUUGGUCCUUGUGUCAUCACAGUGAUCAUGCAAUCAGGCAGUGAUCUUAACCUUUUUGAAAAUAUAUGGUUAAAGAAGGAUUAUAAUAAGAGUGAAUCUCGUGAGGGUUUUAGCGUGGCCAUUGAGGUGGCACAUUCGGAUAUGAAGGAUAACGAGGCUGAUGACUGGAUCGAAAAUUUGUUGUUUGCUGAAGAUGUGAAGUUGAAGAAGAAAAAAUAAAGGAUAAAAAGAAGUAGCCUUCUCCCUUUCACCUGCUUCCUCUCCUUGAUCAAGGUGAAUCUCGUGAGUUUUGUGAUCCCAACAUUGAUGAGAUCGAAUCUUUAGAUCAACCGAUUGAUGUUGGGGUUGCAAACGUAAAUGAUAGCCCCAUUAUAUCUAAGGAAAUUUUGAAGUCUUUUGAAGGAAAAUCAUUUGUUUUAUAUUACAGAGUGGCACACAACCUCCUUUGUUUGUUUCUCAAGAGGAAGAUCUAGAGUUGAAGUAUUCUGAGGAGGCAAUUCAACAUGUUGAAAAUCUAGAGGAAGCAUCUGUAUUGAAGUAAAAAGAUGAGGAACUCCAUUGGGAAAACACUCAAACCACUGCUUUAUGCAGGGAAAGGAGUCAUUGCAUUAGAUUUGCCCCUUAGUUUCUUUGCUCAUCCGAUUGGAAAAUCUAAAGAACAUAGUAUGAAA